UAGGGAAUCUUCCGCAAUGGACGAAAGUCUGACGGAGCAACGCCGCGUGAGUGAAGAAGGAUUUCGGUUCGUAAAACUCUGUUGUUAGGGAAGAAAAAAUGUAUAGUAACUAUAUACAAAAGAGACGGUACCUAACCAGAAAGCCACGGCUAACUACGUGCCAGCAGCCGCGGUAAUACGUAGGUGGCAAGCGUUGUCCGGAAUUAUUGGGCGUAAAGCGCGCGCAGGUGGUUUAGAAAGUCUGAUGUGAAAGCCCACGGCUCAACCGUGGAGGGUCUUUGGAAACUAAUAAACUUGAGUGCAGGAGAGAAAAGUGGAAUUCCUAGUGUAGCGGUGAAAUGCGUAGAGAUUAGGAGGAACACCGGUGGCGAAAGCGGCUUUUUGGCCUGCAACUGACACUGAGGCGCGAAAGCGUGGGGAGCAAACAGG
rnacentral:rRNA from 1 species